AGUUUGAUCCUGGCUCAGAUUGAACGCUGGCGGCAUGCUUUACACAUGCAAGUCGAACGGCAGCGGGGGCUUCGGCCUGCCGGCGAGUGGCGAACGGGUGAGUAAUGCAUCGGAACGUGCCCAUGUCGUGGGGGAUAACUACGCGAAAGCGUAGCUAAUACCGCAUACGCCCCGAGGGGGAAAGCGGGGGACUCUUCGGAGCCUCGCGCGAUUGGAGCGGCCGACGCCGGAUUAGCUAGUUGGUGAGGUAAAGGCUCACCAAGGCGACGAUCCGUAGCGGGUCUGAGAGGAUGAUCCGCCACACUGGGACUGAGACACGGCCCAGACUCCUACGGGAGGCAGCAGUGGGGAAUUUUGGACAAUGGGGGGAACCCUGAUCCAGCCAUGCCGCGUGAGUGAAGAAGGCCUUCGGGUUGUAAAGCUCUUUCGGCCGGGAAGAAAUCGCGCACUCUAACAUAGUGUGUGGAUGACGGUACCGGACUAAGAAGCACCGGCUAACUACGUGCCAGCAGCCGCGGUAAUACGUAGGGUGCGAGCGUUAAUCGGAAUUACUGGGCG
rnacentral:rRNA from 1 species